AGUGAACGCUGGCGGUAGGCCUAACACAUGCAAGUCGAACGGCAGCACCGUAAGAGCUUGCUCUUACGGGUGUCGAGUGGCGGACGGGUGAGGAAUACAUCGGAAUCUACUUUUUCGUGGGGGAUAACGUAGGGAAACUUACGCUAAUACCGCAUACGACCUACGGGUGAAAGCAGGGGAUCUUCGGACCUUGCGCGAUUGAAUGAGCCGAUGUCGGAUUAGCUAGUUGGCGGGGUAAAGGCCCACCAAGGCGACGAUCCGUAGCUGGUCUGAGAGGAUGAUCAGACACACGGGAACUGAGACACGGUACAGACUCCUACGGGAGGCAGCAGUGGGGAAUAUUGGACAAUGGGCGCAAGCCUGAUACAGCCAUACCGCGUGGGUGAAGAAGGCCUUAGGGUUGUAAAGCCAUUUUGUUGGGAAAGAAAAGCAGCAGGUUAAUACCCCGCUGUUCUGACGGUACCCAAAGAAUAAGCACCGGCUAACUUCGUG
rnacentral:rRNA from 1 species